CGCGAACGCUGGCGGCAGGCCUAACACAUGCAAGUCGAACGGACCCUUCGGGGUUAGUGGCGGACGGGUGAGUAACACGUGGGAACGUGCCUUUAGGCUCGGAAUAGCUCCUGGAAACGGGUGGUAAUGCCGAAUGUGCCCUUCGGGGGAAAGAUUUAUCGCCUUUAGAGCGGCCCGCGUCUGAUUAGCUAGUUGGUGAGGUAAUGGCUCACCAAGGCGACGAUCAGUAGCUGGUCUGAGAGGAUGACCAGCCACAUUGGGACUGAGACACGGCCCAAACUCCGACGGGAGGCAGCAGUGGGGAAUCUUGCGCAAUGGGCGAAAGCCUGACGCAGCCAUGCCGCGUGGAUGAUGAAGGUCUUAGGAUUGUAAAAUCCUUUCACCGGUGAAGAUAAUGACUGUAGCCGGAGAAGAAGCCCCGGCUAACUUCGUGCCAGCCGCCGCCGUAA
rnacentral:rRNA from 1 species